CCCGCCCGCCCAAGGCUCUAACAAUAAAUAUAAUUAAGCAAUCAAAUAAAGAGAUAUGCAAUUAUACAAGGCUUGCACGAGGGCAAGCAACAACGGAAGCGAAAGCUCUAAGCUAAAACAUACAACCAUACAUAAUAUUUGAUUACAUUUAAACCAAAUACUAGUAAACUAAAACUAUUACAUCCAUUUGCUUUCAUUCAUAAUAUCUUUUACAUCUUAAUCAUUCAACCCCAAAAU
rnacentral:lncRNA from 1 species